GUUAAAAAGAAGAGAAAACAAGUUUCACAUUCAAACGAGGCAGUGAAAACUAAAAACUUUAAACUUUAAAAGUUAUAGUGGUUCCACAAUGUUAUGCACAAAAAAUCCAAGACGCCUAUUUGAACAAAGAAAUGGAGAGUGUGUGUUUUUGAGUUGUCGGGUGAUUUAAAGAUUUGUUGCGGGAACACUGGACUCAUUGUUACCGUCCCCUCACCACUGUCUCGCGCGCCGCUGCCUGAAACCACCUGCGCUCAAAUGGCUCUCAAUCUUAACGUCGACGAGGCUCGAAGCGGCGAAGAUAACACAACACCUGUUGACGAUGCUCGUUGUCUUUCAAAUGGUGACGAGAAUACAACUCAAAGUCAGCUUGUUACACCAUCAGGUGUCCCGUCGUCGUGUGCACCUGAUAAAUCAGCGGCUCCGGAUAACCUCAAACCGGUGGUAUCAGUACCUUUGAGUGGCAGUAACAGUGGGUCUGAACCGGUGACGCCGGGGGAUUCACUCCAGGCUAUAACAACCCAGAGUCUUGAGCCCAAGUCCAGUGGAUGCAACACGUCUGCCUUGAGAUGUGGGGAAAAGCGGGAGAGGGAAUCAGACGACCCCUCUGAAGUUCCUGUGAAACGCCGCUUGAGACCAUCAGAGGAUAACGGGAAAGAAUGUUCACCAGAUUACGACCAGAGAUGUGCGGAGCUAUGGAUCGAUGGUGAAAUGGCUGCUUGUGAGGCUUAUGAAUUAUCAAAGUCCAGCAGCGACACCCAGCGCCGACAUGUUGUUCCACAACACGACAAUAACAGUUCUGUCAGUCGGCCUCCCACACAGAAGGACUUUGCACGUGCUGUUCGAGCCGAAGUGGCAGCCUGUUUUCAACCCCUCACAAAGUUGAUUAGUUUGAGUAUUGAGUGGAGCAGAACUGAUUUCGCUGAGGUGAUAAGUAGACUUCGUGCACUGCAGAGGGAUACCACAGAGUUGGGAAGUGAAAUCCGUAAUAUGCGAGCAGAUAAAAGACAGGCGUUAGAUGAAAUCUCUCUUAUGGAAGAAAGAAUGAGCGUCAUUCAAAGGUGUGUGUUAGAGACGCACCAAAUUAUGAAUACUACUAGAAAAUGAUGGGUCUGUUUAUCAUAGCAUACUGAUUUUGGUUCAACCCUAUUUCUGCUAAACUUUUCUUCUUUUUUUAUAUAAUUGUAUUAACGAGUGAUUAUAAUUUUUUUUUUUUUUUUAUGAUGUGCAUGCUUGUUUAUUACAUAACUUUUGUGUGUUAUUUUAAUUUUUUUUUUUUUAAUAAAUUGUUUCAAAAUGGCCCUAAAAGAUGUCACAGUGAUUUCAAUGACAUCCAACCAGAUGUGUAUGUGUGUAUGUAUCUAUAUAUAAGGCUUAUUUUAUAUGUAACUACAGAUAAGUAUUGAAACAAUUUAAAUCUAGAAAAAAAAUUGUAUUUUACCUAAUAUUUGUCUCUGCAGUGUAUUGUUUUAUUUUAUGCACUGAUCAGCCAAAGCAUUAAUAAUGCGAACAGGUGAAGUGAAUAACAUUGAUUUUGUUUUUUAAAUGGCACCUGUCAAGGGGCAGUAUAUAUUAGACAGCAAGUGAACAGUCAAAUCUUGAAUUUCAUAUGAUGAAAGUUGAAAAAAUGGGCAAACAAAAAAGAUAUGAGUGACUACGACAAGUGCCACAUAGUGACGGCAAGACAACUGGUUCAGAGCAUCUCCAAAACAAGAAUCAUGUGAGGUGUCCCGAUAUGCAGUGGUUGGUAUCUACCAAAAGUGAUGCAAGGAAGCAGCGUCAAGGUCAUGGGCGGCCAAGGCACACUGAUGCAUGUAGUAUACAAGCUCAUAAGUGUAUAGUACAGUGCUGUGCAAAAUUCUUGUAAGAUUCCUUCACCAAGGUAAGGAAGGCAAAUAUAUGUUUUGUGAUUAGUUCACCCAAAAUAAAAGAUUAGACAGAUUUAGCGCAUUAAAUAUGUUAAGCUCAGAUGGUCACACAUGUGAGCUAUUAUGUUUAUUAACGUAUGUAGUCAGGGACAGAGUACAAGGAUAAGUGUCUAACAUAAUUCUAUAUUUUAAGCCAAGCAGAAUCAUGAAUAUUUCUAUUCUGGUGUCACCACUGCCCUGUGAUGCGGGAGAAGAACCAAAUCAAAGUCUGUUCAAGUCCAUUCCUGACGAAAUAUCAACUCGAACAUUUUAAUGAACAGCAUUUUUUGUUAACGGUUCGUCAUCUUAGAAGUAAUAAUUAGACGAAAAGAUCUGCUUUAAUC
ensembl:lncRNA